rnacentral:misc_RNA from 1 species
AGGAAACAAUUAUCAUCUUCAGUUUUGA